rnacentral:misc_RNA from 1 species
UGAAAGAAGGUACUUUUGCUGCAGCGAUUUGAAUCGUUUGACCAGUUUGUGGGUUACGGCCAGUGCGAGCUGAACGCUCACGUACACUGAAUGUACCAAAACCUACAAGUGCAACUUGCUCACCUUUUUUCAAAGCAUCUGUUACC